rnacentral:rRNA from 1 species
UACGUAGGUGGCAAGCGUUAUCCGGAUUUACUGGGCGUAAAGGGAGCGUAGGCGGACUUUUAAGUGAGAUGUGAAAUACUCGGGCUCAACUUGAGUGCUGCAUUUCAAACUGGAAGUCUAGAGUGCAGGAGAGGAGAAUGGAAUUCCUAGUGUAGCGGUGAGAUGCGUAGAGAUUAGGAAGAACACCAGUGGCGAAGGCGAUUCUCUGGACUGUAACUGACGCUGAGGCUCGAAAGCGUGGGGAGCAAACAGG